UACAGAGGUCUCAAGCGUUGUUCGGAUUCAUUGGGCGUAAAGGGUGCGUAGGCGGCGCGGUAAGUCGGGUGUGAAAUCUCGGAGCUUAACUCCGAAACUGCAUUCGAUACUGCGGUGCUUGAGGACUGGAGAGGAGACUGGAAUUCAUGGUGUAGCAGUGAAAUGCGUAGAGAUCAUGAGGAAGACCAGUGGCGAAGGCGAGUCUCUGGACAGUUACUGACGCUGAGGCACGAAGGCCAGGGGAGCAAACGGG
rnacentral:rRNA from 1 species